AUUGAACGCUGGCGGCAGGCCUAACACAUGCAAGUCGAACGAGGGGCGGACGGGUGAGUAAUGUCUGAGAAACUGCCCGAUGGAGGGGGGUAACUACUGGAAACGGUAGCUAAUACCGCAUACCAUCGGAUGUGCCCAGAUGGGAUUAGCUAGUCGGUGGGGUAACGGCUCACCAAGGCGACGAUGCCUAGCUGGUCUGAGAGGAUGACCAGCCACACUGUAACGGAGCAACGGUCCAGAGUCCUACGUGAGGCAGAAGUGGGGAAUAUUGCACAAUGGGAGCAAGCCUGAUGCAGCCAUGCCGCGUGUAUGAAGAAGGCCUUCGGGUUGUAAAGUACUUUCAGCGAGGAGGCGUUACUCGCAGAAGAAGCACCGGCUAACUCCGUGCCAGCAGCCGCGGUAAUUC
rnacentral:rRNA from 1 species